GAUGGCCACUCUAUAUCUUGGGUGAAUAAUCCAGAUGCAGAGAGAAAGGGUGGAGCAUGGUGGUUAAUCUUUCCCGUGUUUGGUCUUCUGUUCUCUUAUCCAAUCUUCAGCCCUGGGAGGGGCGUUUCUUCACAUUCCCGUUGCAAGGUUUAGGUUGGUCAAUCUAAUGUGUCUAUCUGCACUCUCCAGCCUUCAAGUUCGACCAGUGUUCACGGCUGACUGAAGAUAUGAUGGUGCACGAAACCUAGAAGAGUAGUAAUGCAAGCAAUGUUGGUGAAAGAUUUCGUACCUGAAGGGUCUCAGAGGAAUGUUGUUGUGCGUGUUUCCCAGAUCUGGGAGACCAUUGAUCAACAACAAAAUGUCUAUGAACUGGAGUUCA